rnacentral:tRNA from 1 species
GUGCCUGUAGCUCAGUGGAUAGAGCGUCUGGCUCCGGACCAGAAGGCCGUAGGUUCGACUCCUAUCAGGCACA